UCCUGCUUAACGCAGGCAGUUUUCUUAGAGUGCCCAUCUUAAUGCUGGCAACUAAGAAUAAGGGUUGCGCUCGUUGCGGGACUUAACCCAAUAUUUCACAACACGAGCUGACGACAGCCAUGCAGCACCUGUCUCCAAGCGAAUAUAUUGCUAUAUUCAAAGGCUACAUCUCUGUAGCUUUUCUUGGGAUGUCAAGCCCAGGUAAGGUUCUGCGCGUUGCUUCGAAUUAAACCACAUAAUCCACCGCUUGUGCGGGUCCCCGUCAAUUCCUUUGAGUUUUAAUCUUGCGACCGUACUUCCCAGGCGGAUAACUUAUCGCGUUAGCUUCGACACUGAGAAUAUCAACACUCCCAACGUCUAGUUAUCAUCGUUUAGGGCAUGGACUAC
rnacentral:misc_RNA from 1 species